rnacentral:rRNA from 1 species
UACGGAGGGUGCAAGCGUUGUUCGGAUUUAUUGGGCGUAAAGCGCGUGUAGGCGGUUUCUUAAGUCUGAUGUGAAAGCCCCGGGCUCAACCCGGGAAGUGCAUUGGAUACUGGGAGACUUGAAUACGGGAGAGGGUAGUGGAAUUCCUAGUGUAGGAGUGAAGUCCGUAGAUAUUAGGAGGAACACCGGUGGCGAAGGCGGCUACCUGGACCGAUAUUGACGCUGAGACGCGAAAGCGUGGGGAGCAAACAGG